ensembl:rRNA 5S_rRNA 5S ribosomal RNA
GCUUACGGCCAUACCACCCUGAGAACGCCCGAUCUCGUCUGAUCUCGGAAGCUAAGCAGGGUCGGGCCUGGUUAGUACUUGGAUGGGAGACCGCCUGGGAAUACCAGGUGCUGCAAGCU